rnacentral:lncRNA from 1 species
UUACGUUCUUAAAAUUUCUGCAGUUUACUUUCUUAAAAUUAGAAGGAGAAUGCAUGACAAACUAGUGCUUACUGACUAGUGCCUUAAAUGAUAAGAUUCAUUGCAUUAUUACAUAUUAAGUGUAGAGAAAUUUUCCUGCAGUUCAAAAUAUUUUAAACUUGGAAUCAGAAGCAGUAGGUCCUUCCUUGUUGAAUGUUAAUAAAUGUGGACUUGUAAACUGCAGAAUAUGUGAUUGGCAUAUUACUAUUUACUAAAUGUGGACUUGUAAACUGCAGAAUUAUUACUAUUUACUAUGCCAAUCACAUAUUAACUUGGAUCUCCAAGCAUUGGCAAGCAACAUGAAAUCAACUUGGAUCUCCAAGCAUUGGCAAGCAACAUGGUCAAGGACUGCCCAAAAUUUUACAAGAAUGCAAAACACUGCCCAGAAUUGCACUUGCCCAGAAUUCUUGUUCACUCUGUUAUGAACAAGAAUGCAACACUGCCAAGUGCCAACACAUAAUUUAAAAAAAAAUGCAACUAACCAUGAUAACCUGAUAACCAAGUGCCAACACACUGCCAAGUGACAAAACAGAAAACAAACUAAGAGUGCAGAACUACAGAUCUAACGAGUAACGACUAAGAGAGUAAGAGUGCAGAACUACAGAUCUACAGAUCUAAGUUCUAACGAGUAACGACAACACACUGUCGUCGGCGCUAGUCGUUGGUGGUUCAGUUGGUUGUGACGUUGUUGCGUGCUCGGCGGCCGGCGCUAGCUGAGAUUUGAGAGAAGGCAGGGUACUGAGCUUUAAUGGAGGAGAAGUGGAGAACGGCUGAUUGCUGAACAGGUAUUACGCCAUUACGGUAGAAGACUGAAGUCUGAAGAAGAAGGGACCAAGAAGAGGAGUGAAGAGUGAAACCGAAAGAGUAAAGUAGGCAAGUAGCUGAAGCCUGAAGCUC